UACGAAGGGGGCUAGCGUUGCUCGGAAUCACUGGGCGUAAAGCGCACGUAGGCGGAUUGCUAAGUCCGGGGUGAAAUCCUGGAGCUCAACUCCAGAACUGCCUUUGAUACUGGCGAUCUCGAGUCCGGGAGAGGUGAGUGGAACUGCGAGUGUAGAGGUGAAAUUCGUAGAUAUUCGCAAGAACACCAGUGGCGAAGGCGGCUCACUGGCCCGGUACUGACGCUGAGGUGCGAAAGCCAGGGGAGCAAACGGG
rnacentral:rRNA from 1 species